CCCAGCCCCAGAUAUCCACCAAUCUGUAGAAGUGCCUGUUGUGGACAUUUCAUAUAGGUGAACUCAUACAGUAUGUGAUUCUUUGUGUCUGGCUUCUUUCACUUAGCAUAAGUUUCCGAGGCUCAUCCACAUUGUAGCAUGUGUCAGAAUUUUAUUCCUUUUUUAUUGCUGAGAGUUUGUGUUUUUCCAAUAAAAUUACUUUAUCUUUUCCUUUUUUUUCCUUCUUCAGAAUCCCAAAAUUCUUCUCCUAGAUGAAGCAACCAGUGCGCUGGAUGCCGAAAAUGAGUACCUUGUUCAAGAAGCUCUAGAUCGACUGAUGGAUGGAAGAACGGUGUUAGUUAUUGCCCAUCGUCUGUCCACCAUUAAGAAUGCUAAUAUGGUUGCUGUUCUUGACCAAGGAAAAAUUACUGAAUAUGGAAAACAUGAAGAGCUGCUUUCAAAACCAAAUGGGAUAUACAGAAAACUAAUGAACAAACAAAGUUUUAUUUCAGCAUAAGGAAGCAAUUACUGGUAAACAAUAUGAGACUUUAAUGCAAAACAGUGUUGCAGAAAAAAAACUCAGAGACUAUGAAAUACAUAAACCAUUUAUCAAGUUAUUUGAAAAAUACCUAUUUUUUUCAAAGUGUGUAAAAGAUUGUUUUGAAACGUACCUGUUCUCAAGAUCUUUUUAUUCAGAGUUUUAAUAAUUGUAACUUUUUAAAUGUCUAUAGCACUGAAGUUAUUUUCAGGUUUUGUAUUUUCUUUUCUUGUGGAAUAUUUUAAUUAAUAUAGCAUGGCACCUCAUUUUGUUUUGCGUGCAGUUAAAGAUUGAAGCUAUUGUCAAAUGACAACUUUAAAAAGGCAAUUAUAAAUAAAAAGCCUGAUUAUUUUAGGCCAG
rnacentral:sRNA from 1 species